rnacentral:rRNA from 1 species
CGUGAGCGAAGAAGGCCUUCGGGUCGUAAAGCUCUGUUGUUAGGGAAGAACAAGUACGAGAGUAACUGCUCGUACCUUGACGGUACCUAACCAGAAAGCCACGGCCAACUCUGUGCCAGCAGCCGCGGUAAGACAGAGGGGGCAAGCGUUGCUCGGAAUCACUGGGCGUAAAGGGCGCGUAGGCGGGAUGGCAAGUCAGUCGUGAAAUCUCUCGGCUCAACCGAGAAACGUCGGCUGAUACUGCCGUUCUUGAGGGAUGCAGAGGAGACUGGAAUUCCCGGUGUAGCGGUGAAAUGUGUAGAGAUCGGGAGGAACACCGGUGGCGAAGGCGGGUCUCUGGGCAUCUCCUGACGCUGAGGCGCGAAAGCGUGGGGAGCAAACGGGAUUAGAUACCCCGGUAGUCCACGCUGUAAACGAUGACGACUAGGUGUGGGGUGGUUCAGUCCAUUCCGUGCCGCAGCUAACGCAUUAAGUCGUCCGCCUGGGGAGUACGGCCGCAAGGUUG